rnacentral:rRNA from 1 species
CACGAAGUUAGCCGGGGCUUAUUCCUCCGGUACCGUCAUUAUCGUCCCGGAGAAAAGAGCUUUACAACCCUAAGGCCGUCAUCACUCACGCGGCAUGGCUGGAUCAGGGUUGCCCCCAUUGUCCAAUAUUCCCCACUGCUGCCUCCCGUAGGAGUCUGGGCCGUGUCUCAGUCCCAGUGUGGCUGAUCAUCCUCUCAGACCAGCUACUGAUCGUCGCCUUGGUGAGCCAUAACCUCACCAACUAGCUAAUCAGACGCGGGCCGAUCCUUCGGCAGUCAAGCCUUUCCCCAAAAGGGCGUAUCCGGUAUUAGCUCAAGUUUCCCUGAGUUAUUCCGAACCGAAGGGCACGUUCCCACGCGUUACUCACCCGUCUGCCGCUGACCCCGAAGGGCCCGCUCGACUUGCAUGUGUUAAGCCUGCCGCCAGCGUUCGCUCUGAGCCAGGAUCAAACUCU